rnacentral:lncRNA from 1 species
CUCUGAAGGAGGUUGUUAAUGAGCAGACACUCCUGUUAGUCUCUAAAGGAGGUUGUUAAUGAGCAGACACUCCUGUUAGUCUCUAAAGGAGGUUGUUAAUGAGAAUGAGCAGACACUCCUGUUAGUCUCUAAAGGAGGUUGUUUAUGAGAAUGAGCAGACACUCCUGUUAGUCUCUAAAGGAGGUUGUUUAUGAGAAUGAGCAGACACUCCUGUUAGUCUCUAAAGGAGGUUGUUUAUGAGAAUGAGCAGACACUCCUGUUAGUCUCUAAAGGAGGUUGUUUAUGAGAAUGAGCAGACACUCCUGUUAGUCUCUAAAGGAGGUUGUUAAUGAGAAUGAGCAGACACUCCUGUUAGUCUCUAAAGGAGGUUGUUAAUGAGAAUGAGCAGACACUCCUGUUAGUCUCUAAAGGAGGUUGUUAAUGAGAAUGAGCAGACACUCCUGUUAGUCUCUAAAGGAGGUUGUUAAUGAGAAUGAGCAGACACUCCUGUUAGUCUCUAAAGGAGGUUGUUAAUGAGCAGACACUCCUGUUAGUCUCUAAAGGAGGUUGUUAAUGAGAAUGAGCAGACACUCCUGUUAGUCUCUAAAGGAGGUUGUUAAUGAGAGUGAGCAGACACUCCUGUUAGUCUCUAAAGGAGGUUGUUAAUGAGCAGACACUCCUGUUAGUCUCUAAAGGAGAUUGUUAAUGAGAAUGAGCAGACACUCCUGUUAGUCUCUAAAGGAGGUUGUUAAUGAGAGUGAGCAGACACUCCUGUUAGUCUCUAAAGGAGGUUGUUAAUGAGAGUGAGCAGACACUCCUGUUAGUCUCUAAAGGAGGUUGUUAAUGAGAGUGAGCAGACACUCCUGUUAGCUCAGUUGACUUUAGUCCCUGUUCCAUCCUUCAGAUUAGCAUGGAGGUGAGUGACUUUCACAGCAUGACAUCUGCUCCCCAGCUGAGCACAGCACCUGUGUUAACUAGGAUCAGUUCCUCCCAGGCCAACAGGGCUUCUCUCUGAGCCAACAGUGAUCUCUGUCUCUCUCUCUGUCAGCUAGUUAAGUCCUCCACCUGGUGCACCACACCGAUACCACAGUCAAGAGUCCUCUAGGGAGUGUUAUGAUCUUUCUCUCUUUCAGCCUUGGCUUGUGUAACCUGGCCUGUCUAGUACCUCUGUCUGUGUGUGUGUGUGUGUGUGUGUGUGUGUGUGUGUGUGUGUGUGUGUGUGUGUGUGUGUGUGUGUGUGUGUGUGUGUUAUAAAUCCCAAAGCCUUCGGGUACCUGGCCACACCAGAGCAGAGCCUGUCGUGUUUGUGUGGUAUACUUGGCACCAUCGAAAGGCCCUGAAUUGCGUUUGGGGUUGAAGGGAACACAACAAAAACCCCGAGCUCUUCUUCAAGACUCUGUUCAAGCUGAAAGAGAGAUGCCUGGCCUUUCAACUGUCUGUCCUGGGGGAGACCUUCACCAACGUGCCAGGUACACACACACACACGCCUUUCUACAAGUAAAACAUUUAGUGAGCUCUGGUUCGGCGAUGACACUCAUUUUCAAAGCAGCAGUGGAUGUUUGGGUUUAAAACUGUUUUAAAGUUCUACUCCGUUCAUGGCGGUGUGGUGCACCAGGUGGAGGAAUUAACAAACUGACAGAGAGAGGGACAGAGAUCACUGUUGUGCAGCCAAGGUGUUAUGUUGAGUGUUCUGGCUUUCGAUGUGAUUGGUCAUUUUAGUAGGUGUAGGGUUAAGGCUGUCUCAGACAUGCAUUUUGUUGCAUUAUGUUAUUUAGUUUACCCUCCAUUAAACUGAAGUCUUUGUGUAGGAAUCUAAUCCGUUAUAAACAGUUCACAUAGUGAGCAACUGAACAAAGCCGAAUAGUCUACUCAGGCAUUUUACUUAAUUAAAUGAAAGUAGAGCAAAUAAUGUCUCUCGCUCUCUCUCUCUUUUAUCUCUUUAUCUCUAUCUAUAUCUCUCUUGAUCUCGAUCUCUCUCUCUCUUUAUCUCUAUUUCUCUCUCUGUCUCUAUCUAUAUCUCUCUCUUGAUCUCGA